GAUCGUCAGUCUUACGGCAUAUAUGGCCCGC
rnacentral:sRNA from 1 species